GUCUACGGCCAUGCCACCCUGAAUGUGCCCGAUCCUGUCUGAUCUCAGAAGCUAAGCAGGGUCGGGCCUGGUUAGUACUUGGAUGAGAGACCAUCUAUGAAUACCAGGUGCUAUAGGCA
rnacentral:rRNA from 1 species